rnacentral:lncRNA from 1 species
AAGUAUUGUCUGCCCCAGGGGAACUGCAGGAAAGAGAGCGUAAGUUGGGGGGGGGGUGUCUUCUUUAAAGGGGUCCUUUGCACCUGCAUGCAGACUAGUAGUCAUGGAACCUGGGGCUGACCAGGGUACUGCCUGAGUGCAUUCUGCCAGGUGACAGGGGCAGGCCAGCACAAUGCCUGAAUCCUUAUGCUAUCAGCUAAGCCAGUUUCCAACUCCAUGCUCCACAGGAAUAAUUUCUUAUCCCCAGGUGUUAGAAAUAGUAGCCCCAAGUGCAAAUUCUCACUUUCCACAGCCUUUGGUAUUAAGUCUUUGACAAACUCAAGAAACUAUGUUUCUUCAAAUGAGCUCCGUGGACUAUUAUAAACACUAUGGGGUCUGUAAUCUGGAAACAAAGGUAUUUUGACUCUGGAUGAGUAAGUGGCCCAGUAACCAUUCAUGACUACUCCGUGCCAGCACAGAGAUGUCACUGCUAAAGAAGGGCUCUAGGAGAGUGUACCACACAGUGCCAGGAAGCUUCCACCUCACAUCUUGGAAAGAUAGGCGUCAGCACAUUUACUCCAGAGCAGAGCAAAGCAUCUAGAGUGCCUAACAAGAGGUCCAGAGCAACUCCCCUUCAUCGGGCCUGCCUCUGUACCCCGCAGGAUAGAGUACUGCUGCAACAUGCUCUUUAGGAGGCUGGCAUGCAGGAAGUUCUCCAGGGAGUGCUGUUGGCAGCAACAUCUGUGACACAGAAGGAAGAGAACCACCUUGGCAGAAAGAAGGAGAGGUGGAUGAUGAAGCCACCUCAAUCAAAAUCUUGGCUGCCCAAACAGGAACUCUGGAGACUGGCAAGGUUGAAUAAUUCUCCAUGGUCAUACAGGCCACACCUUAUGCUGUAUCAAACCCUAGCACCGUGGAUCCUUAGAGACUGGGGCAGGAUGGAGCAUGCCUAGAAGCUUGGCCACUCAAAGCCAUGCCCAGUGAGGAAUUCUCAAAAGAAUUCUAGGUGUGUCACUGGAGCACACAAGAGCUGCCUUCAGAAGUCAGAGAGUCCUCUGGGAGAUUCAAAGGACUGGAACUUGAACUGAGUGUCAAGAACUUCAGGACAAAAGGGUUCGAAGAUCAGGAUAAGCAAGAUCCUCCAGGAAGCUUCUCAAGAGAGUUUCCUUUCCCUGGAUCAAUGCUGACUCUUCAGUUACUGAUGGAACUAGAAUUUGGGGGUCCCUAAUAGUCAAAUAGACUAUUAUCUUUUUACAGCUUCAGAUUUAUUUUUAAAAAUAUCUCCACAUUGCUUUAUGUGCGGGAGAUACAUUCUUUGUGGUUAAAAGAGCUUCUGCUGGGAAGGAGAAUAUGAAUGUGAAAAGAUAAUUGCUGCAUGGUAUUAGAAGUGCCACACUAAAGGAUGUCUCCGACAGCACAAAAGAGGGAGUGACGACUGCUGCAGAAGUGGGAGAAGGUUUUCUAUAAAGGAGGUGGGUUUUAAGAUCCAUCUUAUAUAAUCAGGCCAAUGUGUUCACUUGGGAGAAAUAAUGUUUGCAGAACACUAUUUGUGUUCACAUGGCAGGAAGCAUUUAAGAUCAGAGUUGGUAUCAUUUUAGAAGAACUUGAGAUCUUUGUGCCUUUAAUUAUGGGAGAAACUACCAGAGAUGAGUAGUGGAUGAGUGAAAAGAAGACUCCCCCAUUGUUCUAAAAAGUUGUGAAAUGUCACAUGAGGUGGCUAGACAUUGAGGCCACUGAAGAAAUAAGGAAGUUGGCCACGGGGAACAAGGGAGGGGCAGGUAAUUGUGGGAGAAUUGAUACCGGGUUCAUGAAGAUACAAGAUCAAGUGAGAAUGGCUCACAGAUACCAGCUGGCAUGGCUGAGUAGUUGAUGAGAAUGGGGCAGAGCAGGAGGUAAUCGAGAGCUGGACUUUGGUUGUGGUGAUUUACAGAUAUGCCUGGAGCUUCAAGUUGG